rnacentral:rRNA from 1 species
CGUGGGUAACCUGCCCAAGAGAUCGGGAUAACACCUGGAAACAGAUGCUAAUACCGGAUAACAACAGAUGAUGCCUAUCAACUGUUUAAAAGAUGGUUCUGCUAUCACUCUUGGAUGGACCUGCGGUGCAUUAGCUAGUUGGUAGGGUAACGGCCUACCAAGGCGAUGAUGCAUAGCCGAGUUGAGAGACUGAUCGGCCACAUUGGGACUAAGACACGGCCCAAACUCCUACGGGAGGCAGCAGUG